rnacentral:tRNA from 1 species
CAGUAAUUAGUUUAAUUUAAAAUAUAGCAUUUGGAUUGCUAAGUUUUUUUACUGA